UCUAAGCUGAACACAAUUUUUACAUUAUUUUAUUCAAAUACUCCACUUUGAGUCUUUUUCCCAUUUGACUUCUCUAAUAAUUAAAUAAUUUCAAACUAGUUGCAGGUGAUAUUCUAAUUAAAUUAUUGACUUGUGAUUUACACAAUAAAAACGUUUAAGAGUAACGUAAAAGGAUUGAGGAACAUACAAAAAAAAACGCUUAAGAGAAACGUAAGAGAAUUGAGGAACAUAAGAAGAACAUAAAAAGCUUUGUCUUCAUUUAGAAAAAGCAAUGAUUAAUUCCGCAAUUAUGCUGCGAAAACAACAACGAGAAGAAGAAGAAGAAGUGCAGCUCGUGUCAUUUGGUAAAUUGCUGCUGUAAAUUGACAUCAGUAUGAAUGAGCACAGCACCAGCUGCAACUACAAUUACAACACAGACAGAGAGAGAGAGAGAGAGGGAGAGAGAGAGAGGGAUACAGAGACACCUCAUCACAUUUGGGAGGCCAUUGUUGAGCGGCGAGUUUAAAAGUGUAUACUCAGCGAGAUGCGCUUUGAAACCGAUGGGGGCACUCCAUUCGAGGCGAUGCACAGAUACGAGCCCAUCUCGUUGCGUGAGAUUUUCGUCAGCUUCAGCACUUCACCGCGGUACGAGGAAACUGCAUAGAAUAAAACAAACAAAAAAGGAAUACAUCAUAUUUUCACUUUCUCGGAUGUCCUUAUCAAUGUACGACAAGCAAAGGACACACCCAAAAGCUCUACAAUCGUGAUCAUUAAUAACAC